AAAAAACUAGUUAAAAUAUAAUAUAAAUUUGUCAAAUUUAAGUAAUUAAAAAUUAAUGUUUUUUA
rnacentral:tRNA from 2 species